GACGAACGCUGGCGGCGUGCCUAAUACAUGCAAGUCGAGCGAAUGGAUUAAGAGCUUGCUCUUAUGAAGUUAGCGGCGGACGGGUGAGUAACACGUGGGUAACCUGCCCAUAAGACUGGGAUAACUCCGGGAAACCGGGGCUAAUACCGGAUAACAUUUUGAACCGCAUGGAUCGAAAUUGAAAGGCGGCUUCGGCUGUCACUUAUGGAUGGACCCGCGUCGCAUGAGCUAGUUGGUGAGGUAACGGCUCACCAAGGCAACGAUGCGUAGCCGACCUGAGAGGGUGAUCGGCCACACUGGGACUGAGACACGGCCCAGACUCCUACGGGAGGCAGCAGUAGGGAAUCUUCCGCAAUGGACGAGAGUCUGACGGAGCAACGCCGCGUGAGUGAUGAAGGCUUUCGGGUCGUAAAACUCUGUUGUUAGGGAAGAACAAGUGCUAGUUGAAUAAGCUGGCACCUUGACGGUACCUAACCAGAAAGCCACGGCUAACUACGUGCCAGCCGCCGCAGUAA
rnacentral:rRNA from 1 species